GCCUCUGUAGCUCAGAAGGCAGAGCGGCCGGAAAACGGAUCGGCGGCAUGGUGGGACGGUUGCGGAAGCACCGGGAUCGGGCCCCGUACUCAAAAGGUGCGGGGUUGGGGAACCUCAACCCCCGACAGGGAAGCGCGUUUUCCAACUACUUGGCGCGGGUUCGAGUCCCGCCAGGGGUA
rnacentral:tRNA from 1 species